rnacentral:snRNA from 1 species
AUCAGUUCUCGGCCUUUCGGCUAAGACCAAGUGU